UAGCCAGAGGAAGAGAAAUCAAUUGAGAUUCCGUCAGUAGCGGCGAGCGAACGCGGAUUAGGACAAACCCAAUGCUUGCAUUGGGGGUUGUAGGACUAUAAUGUGUAGUUAAAGAGAAUAGAUGAAUUAGUUGGAAAGCUAGAGCAUAGAAGGUGAUACUCCUGUAAUUAAAAUUCUCAAUAACGCUAAUAGUAUCCUGAGUAGGUCGGAACACGUGAUAUUUUGACUGAAGCUGGGGGGACCACCCUCCAAUCCUAAAUACUACUUACAGAUCGAUAGUGAACAAGUACCGUGAGGGAAAGGUGAAAAGUACUGCAGCGAGCAGAGUGAAAUAGAACCUGAAACCAUUAGCUUACAAUCAUUCAGAGCCCUAUGAUUUAUCAGGGUGAUGGACUGCCUUUUGCAUAAUGAGCCUGCGAGUUGUGGUGUCUGGCAAGGUUAAGCCAAGUGCGAAGCCGUAGCGAAAGCGAGUCUUAAUAGGGCGACAUAGUCAGAUGCUGCAGACCCGAAACGAAGUGAUCUAUCCAUGAGCAGGUUGAAGCUGGUGUAAGAGCCAGUGGAGGACCGAACCCGCUGACGUUGAAAAGUCUUGGGAUGACUUGUGGAUAGGGGUGAAAGGCCAAUCAAACUUCGUGAUAGCUGGUUCUCUCCGAAAUAUAUUUAGGUAUAGCCUUGUGUUGUAGCAUAUAGGGGUAGAGCACUGAAUGGGCUAGGGCUGCUUACCGCGGUACCAAACCCUAUCAAACUAUGAAUACUAUAUGUGGAAUCACAGGAGUCAGGCGGUGGGUGAUAAAAUCCGUCGUCAAGAGGGGAACAACCCAGACUAACAGCUAAGGUCCCUAAGUUACAUCUAAGUGGAAAACGAUGUGGAGUUACUGUGACAACCAGGAGGUUGGCUUAGAAGCAGCCAUCCUUUAAAGAAAGCGUAACAGCUCACUGGUCUAGUGAUUCUGCGCGGAAAAUAUAACGGGGCUAAGAUGUACACCGAAGCUUUAGAUUCAAUUUUUAAUUGAGUGGUAGGAGAGCGUUCUAUUCAGCGUUGAAGGUAUACCGGUAAGGAGUGCUGGAGCGGAUAGAAGUGAGCAUGCAGGCAUGAGUAGCGUUAAAACAGGUGAGAAUCCUGUUCGCCGAAAACCCAAGGUUUCCUACGCGAUGCUCGUCAUCGUAGGGUUAGUCGGGUCCUAAGUCGAGUCCGAAAGGGGUAGACGAUGGCAAAUUGGUUAAUAUUCCAAUACCAACAUAUAAGCGCGAUGUGGGGACGCAUAGAGUUAAUCGAGGUCACGGAUGGAAGUGUGGCUCGAAGGAUGUAGGUUGUUAAGUAGGCAAAUCCGCUUAACGUUAGACCGAGAUCUUACAGGCUCUUGACACUCUUCGGAGGAGAUGGAGAAUCGAUGAUACUGUCGUGCCAAGAAAAGCCACUAAGUAUAUUAUAUGUUGCCCGUACCGUAAACCGACACAGGUGGGUGGGAUGAGUAUUCUAAGGCGCGUGGAAGAACCCUCUUUAAGGAACUCUGCAAACUAGCACCGUAUCUUCGGUAUAAGGUGUGCCUACUUUGGUAUAUGGACUUGCUCCAAAAAGCUAAAGAGGUUGCAACAAAGAGUCCCUCCCGACUGUUUACCAAAAACACAGCACUUUGCUAACACGUAAGUGGAUGUAUAAGGUGUGACGCCUGCCCGGUGCUCGAAGGUUAAUUGAUGAUGUCAGCGCAAGCGAAGCAUUUGAUCGAAGCCCGAGUAAACGGCGGCCGUAACUAUAACGGUCCUAAGGUAGCGAAAUUCCUUGUCAGUUAAAUACUGACCUGCAUGAAUGGCGUAACGAGAUGGGAGCUGUCUCAAAGAGGGAUCCAGUGAAAUUGUAGUGGAGGUGAAAAUUCCUCCUACCCGCGGAAAGACGGAAAGACCCCGUGCACCUUUACUACAGCUUGACACUGUAGCUUGGAUAUUCAUGUGCAGGAUAGGUGGGAGGCUAUGAUGACUAGACGCCAGUAGAGUCGGAGCCAUCCUUGAGAUACCACCCUUGAAUAUUUGAGUUACUAACUGCGAUGAGUUAACCUCAUUCAGGACAAUGUCUGGUGGGUAGUUUGACUGGGGCGGUCGCCUCCUAAAUAGUAACGGAGGCUUACAAAGGUUAGUUCAGAUGGGUUGGAAAUCCAUCGUUGAGUAUAAUGGCAUAAACUAGCUUGACUGUGAGACCAACAAGUCGAACAGAGACGAAAGUCGGUCAUAGUGAUCCGGUGGUUCUGCGUGGAAGGGCCAUCGCUCAAAGGAUAAAAGGUACGCCGGGGAUAACAGGCUGAUCUCCCCCAAGAGCUCACAUCGACGGGGAGGUUUGGCACCUCGAUGUCGGCUCAUCGCAUCCUGGGGCUGUAGUCGGUCCCAAGGGUAUGGCUGUUCGCCAUUUAAAGCGGUACGCGAGCUGGGUUCAGAACGUCGUGAGACAGUUCGGUCCCUAUCUUCCGUGGGCGUAGGAAAGUUGAAGAGAUUUGUCCCUAGUACGAGAGGACCGGGAUGAACCAACCACUGGUGUACCAAUUGUUCUGCCAAGAGCAUCGUUGGGUAGCCACGUUGGGAUGUGAUAAGAGCUGAAAGCAUC
rnacentral:rRNA from 2 species